rnacentral:lncRNA from 1 species
CACAUUAUUUUAAGAUCCCUGGAUUUCUGUUCCAAGACAAGUAGGAUGGAUCUCCAAGAGGUCUGCAAAUAGAGAAAUAUAGCAAUGUUAGCUCACAGGUACAUUAGAAAUAAGAAAAAAUAUUUAUCAGUUUUUCUCUACUAUGUAGCCAUAUGAAUUUCCUAACAUAAAUUUGAGGUUAAAUUGCACUUUUGGUCCCCUAACUUUUACAAACUUGCGAUUUUGACCUCAUAACUUCCAUAAUAGCCCUUUUGACCUUCUAACUUUCAAAACAUGCGAUUUUUGCCCCCAGAAUUUAGCCCCUUUUGCAAAAAGAUGGCCCCACUGAUUUUGGCCAAGUAAAUGCACACGUUACAAGUGACUCACAUGCCACAUCAGCAUGACUUGCCACAUAUGCUGAGGUGGCAUGUGAGUCAUUGUCCACAUGGCAAGACAUGGGCUAAAAGUGCAAUUUAGCCUAAAUUUAAUUAGAACUUAUGUCAAUUUCAACCAAUUGAAAAAUGCGUAUUCAAAUGUGAGUGUCACAAAAUGUGCCGCUAGCAUUUCGCAUCUCAUAUAAUAUGGCUUGAUGAUUCCAAAUGUAAUAUCAUGAUAUUCUGUCAUAAAAAAUAAAUGUAGAACCAUAAAGGUGUAUAUGAUGAGCACAAUAUUUCAUUUGAUUACCUUGGCUUGAUAACAUACAGAAGAAUGAAUCCUAUGGCACAGAACAAGGAUAGGCCACCAACAACAAGGUAUGCCAUCCCUAAGAAGGGAUUUUUCCCACCAAUCCAAGUAGUUGUUGAUAGAACUAGAUUCUUUUUACCUCCAAAUUCAUAUGUGUUAUAAUUGUUCUGUAUUACUAUUUCGAUCUCAUUAUUAGCUUCAAGAUCAGUCUCUAUCUUCCCAUACAGUUUUCGAAAAGUUGGCAGUGCUGCUGUUCGCAUCCACACAAUGAGAUCCUCUUGUUCGCUCAACUGAUGCAUCGCGACAAGUCAUAGGUUAGUUAUCAUAAAAGCAACUUACUUUUCGGUAUAAAAAUAGUUAAACAUAAACUUAUAUGAUAAAUUGUUGUGCUAUAAACGCUUAACAAACUGUUUAUCCAAACGUGAUCUUACAGGUAUGCUUUCAUCGAGUUUUCCACCUCCAAUCAAUUCUCCACUCUGAAAAUUUUUAGGAUAAACAUUAGGACCAAAUUUAGAACCUCUGUCACUUGACCAUGCUAUGUUCUUUUUGUUGACAGUUAAAUCCUUGUUGUUCAUGGAAAAUUUGUAGGUGUCAUUGAACAGACUCCAUGCAAUAAGGCCACAAGGAACAAUCGGCGCAUUUCCUUUUGUUUUGUCUUCUGGAGAACAGUUACUUGUGUCACUCUCAGAUGCUUUAUUCCACAAUUGCUUAUCACUUCUACUCUUAACAUAUCUGCAAGAAUUAAUCAUCCAAAAUCAUAUUAACGGCAACAUUAAAAAAAUAUGCAUCAAAUCCUCAAAUAGUGGCUAGCGCCUAGCGGUGCUAUAGUGCUACUGCAUAACGAAAUUUGAACAAGUUGCUAUUGUUACGCGAUACGCUACUUAGUACAAAAUAUUGUGAAUAUAGCCGCGCUGUAGCACUGUUGCAUAGCAUAAUUUGAUCAAACUGUUAUUUUCUGCGAUCUGCAAUUAACACCACUUAAAUUGUGCGUACCUGCGAUGAUUUUGAUAGUAAUUAUCAAGUUGAUAGUAGAUGAAAAUAGGAGCUUGCAUUUUGUGCUCAACCUGUAAAGUUUACGAAUAAUUAUUUCUGAUAAGGUAAAAAUAAAAAAUGAAACUCUUCUGAUACAGAAAAGUGAAUUAUGAACUAACAGUCCAUUUGUGGGUGCAGGUCUUGUUAGUGGUAGCACUUUUAAUAUAUGCAACUGCAUUAUCAGCAUCCGAAGAAGGAAGACACGUGUCGUCGUAUCUAAAUACAGCUUCCUCCAC